GACGAACGCUGGCGGCGCGCUUAACACAUGCAAGUCGAACGGAAAGGCCUGCUUUCCCUUGUGGAUUGCGGGUACUCGAGUGGCGAACGGGUGAGUAACACGUGAGUGAUAUGCCCCCAACUUGGGAAUAAGCCUGGGAAACUGGGUCUAAUUACCGACAGGACUGCAGGGUGGUGCCUGUGGUGGAAAACGAUUUUCUAGUGGUUGGGGAUGAGCUGGCGGCCUAUCAGCUAGUUGGUGGGGUAAUGGCCUACGAAGGCGGCGACGGGUAGCCGGCCUGGGAGUGGGGGCGCCCACAUUGUGACUGGGCACCGGCCCAGUCUGCUACGGCCGGCAGCAGUGGGGAAGAUUGCACUGUGGGCUGAAGCCUAAUGCAGCGACGCCUCGUGGGGGAUGACGGCCUUCGGGAUGUCACCUUCUUUCUACCACGAGGAUGCCACCUGUUUGGAAGGGUGGUUACGGUUAUUGUAGAAGAAGCACCGGCUAACUUCGUG
rnacentral:rRNA from 1 species